AUGGCUCGCGGCGAUCAUCAAAACGAUGAUGAUGAUUUCAUGGAUGCACCGCAGCAGAAUCGGACAACUGGACGGAGAAAAUACGGCGAUGAGAAGAAGAAACAUACUCGCAAUAGGGCUUCGCAGGAACGCCUGACUUCAUUGACCGACAGAUUUACCGACGAUCAGAAGGGAGCUGCUGCUGAGAUGGGUAUGCAGGCUCUGAUGGAUGUCCGGGAAUUUGUGAUUCCGGGACGUGGAAGACUGCCGUUGGACGAGGAAUCCGUGUUCUGCACUUUGGGUGUGCCCCGUGGAGAAAUCAAAGUCCCGUAUGAGGUCAAUAAUAAGAUCGAGGAAACAUUGUUUCCCCAUUUGUUUCCUGGGUUGGAAUCCAUGCCGAACACUACUUUCCUGGCAGAUUCGCUGCAGGCCAUGACAACCCAUGGCGAGGUUUUUAAGAUGAAGCUACUCAUGUACCUCAUCUCAGCUGUUUUCACACCGACCACUUCUCUUCGCCCAAGCAACAAAUGCUUCCCCAUCCUGGUGAAUGAUCUAUCUAUACUCCUUUAUUUCCUUCAAUCUUUUGGCUCUGAUGUCAUAUGUCUCAUGUACGUCGACUGUCUUGAUCUGUCCACCGUGAACUACACUGGGACAGGAGGCCCGCCGCCCACACACAAGUUUGCUGUUUCUGCAUGGACUUACGAUGCUGUCAAGGCUGUGCGUGCUGCAGAUAGGGUAACUGAUACGAAAUAUGGGAAACUGCAGCUGAUGGCCAAGCAUGCUAUAGACUACAUCAUGUUUGGGGGACCUCAAAACUUUGGAAAGUGGAUGAACGUGCACUCAGCCCCGUCUUGCCCUACUGAGGCGAGGGCACCUGUUGAGCAUCUAAUUGGGCAGUUUGCAUUCGGAAUGACCAACUUGCUCGGGAAGUUGGUUGAGGGUUGGACGUCCCUUAGUGGCUCUGACAGAGACGCGGUUGCGAGGUACAUUUAUUGCAGAACGGACACAUCGGCCAACUGGUUGCCAUGGCCGCAUGACACCGAUGAUGAUGAACAUGUUGAAGUUCGUGCAGGCGGUAAGAAGGGCAAGGCUGCACCAGAUGUCCCCUCACCAGAGAAAGUCAAAGAACAUACAGCUGCGAGAGGCGAGGGGGUGUUGCCCUCAAAGAGGGGGAGGGAUCCAGAGGAUGUUGGGCAGGGUUCUCCUGGCAAGUGGUCUAGGACCGAUCCCAUAGCUGAUAGGAGGAGGGUGAAGAAGACUACUACACACGCGACCAAGCAUAUCAUUAGGGACCCACUCGAACACCUUCAUUCAAAGUUGUCAACAGGUGGCAACUCAGAUGUUCAUGAGGCGCCAGUCGACAAAACUGUUGAUGCACCGUCAACUGUUCCCACUAACUCUGAUGCAAGCGGCCGACCAUCUCCGCCGUCAACUGUUCCCACUAACUCUGACGCAAGCGGCCGACCAUCUCCACCGGUUGCAGACGUGCAGGCUACAACAACAGGCAUCCAUACAUCAGGGAGUGACAAGUCGGUAUCUGCCAGGACUGCUGAAAUAUUGCCCACUCUGCUGGCAAUGAAGGAUGCUGCUGUGAGCCAUGCCACCCCAUCAGCAAGCGUUGAAGUGGACGCCCCCGAGACCAACCUAAGCAAGGAAGAUUCCCGCUCAUCUGAAAUGGAUUCCAAGCGCGUGCAUGGUGGCACUCCUAUGUCCACGACAGAAGUGGCUGAGGCGACAGUUCAUAAUGAUAUGCCAUCCACAGGUGAGAGUUUUGGCACAACAGCUCCAGCUCCUGGUGGUGCAGAGGUUGCUAAGGCAACUGUUUCGCGAGCUGGUCUUCCACCUAGGCAUCGUAGCCCCCGCAAGCAAUCAAUAGACAUACCCAACGCACCGGCUGUAGCUAGGAGCAGCAGAGAUGAGUUUGGUUAUGUUCCUGCGUCCACACUGUUCCCACCACCUGCCAAAAGCAAUGUUAUGAAGAAACCAGAAGACCGGAGUACAGCUGAUGCACGUGUCAAGCCGGGCACGAGUGAUGGAGGUGAACAUCCGGAGCAGACUGCGUCUUUACCCGCAGUGGAGAACCCUAGCUUAAAUCUGUGCACUUCCAAGCUCCUAGUCAAUGUUGGUGUCCCCUAUAGCCCAAACAAGAAGAUUGUCAAGAAAGCUGCGGCUGAUACCGCUGACAACACGCCCUGCCCUAUGAAUAAUCCCGAUGAUUCUGCAGCGGUCGAUUCAGAUAUGUUUGUUGAUCUUUCACCCUUGGAUUCUGCCCCGCAAGUUGUUCGCGGUCCGGCCAGUAGGCAUGAGAGGCACCCAAUGGCCUUCACCCCACUGAGCUUUAGCCUUGGCACCAGUCAAGAUCAACCAGUGGUGCAAGAUCCUACGCCAGUUGCCUUUGCUUUCCCGAGAGGCAUGGCCGCAAUGAUGGCGCAGCCAAUGGUCGAGGGCAGGAAGGCUGUCAAGUUCGCAGAGCCGAUCGUCCAAGGUAUCCUAACCCACUUUUUGAUCCUUGCAGGCACCCCUGAGGAGAUCUCGCCGUCACUUGAUGAAGUUUACCGCAGGAUUGAGGAGGCAACAUCGCAGAGGAGGUCCUCACGAGGUCAGGGGCAAUCAAGUUCCAACGUGCCUGCUGAGACAAUAUCUGAGGAUACCAUUAGAAGUGCCACCCCUGGUUUUGUGAGGCAAACCAAGGUCAUACAAUGCGAAGCGACGUACGUCGACCUGGGUGAUCUUGCCGAGUCCGUGAGGCCACUCGGUAAAAUAUCGACGAAUGUAGUUGCAUGUGGGAUUGACUUCAUCAACAAGCAUAUGGAUAUGUCUCCCGACAAAACAAUCAUGCAUUACAGUGUGACCUGUAAAUAUGGGAUGGAGCUUGCACCACAUGACCCACACGACAAGUGUGGUCACCACUACGCGAUCUACCUUGACCUGAAGAACCAACGUUUUGAGGUGCUUGAUUCAAUGCGUUCGGCAGCUGAUGCAGACCUUACUACGCAUGAUGAAUACUUCAUCAACAACCUCAAAGAGACAUGGAACCGUCACUACGAACACUCAAAGGUCUGGAUCAGGCAUUUUCCAAUUGAGUACAUGGCGACUACGAAGCAAGGGAACAAGACGGACUGUGGCUUUCACACGUUGGAAUACCUUGCAAAGUGGGAAGGUAGACUGGUUCCUGUUGUCAUAGCUGCAAUGACCGUUGAGCUCCGGAAAAUUUACACAUGGAACUGGUUGACGAAUGAAGAUUUCAACAAGCGGUCCGGAGCACGUGAGUUCAUAGAGGAAGCUAUCAAAUAA
rnacentral:rRNA from 1 species